rnacentral:lncRNA from 1 species
UCAAUUUAAACACAAAAGGUGGAACCGUGAGCCUACAAAUAUAAUGCAAAAUACACAUAGACAUUGUUCAUAAUUAAUUGCACUGGUGAUUAAACUUAAUUAAUUCAUAAUUUUGCUCCCACUCAAAUCAAUAUCUCUCAUAAUUGAUUUUAAGUGAUUCAAGACCUUGAUCUUAUUCACAGUCAUUGAUGUGGACUUCACUGAUGGCGUGAACUUCAACUCGUAGGCAAACUUUUGUUGAUCAUAUCUCCAUAUGACACUUGUUCAUGUUUCAGUGCUUUGUGCUCCGAGCUCACAAUGAUUGUGUCACAACUUCAAAACAACCGAGUGUUUCAACAAUGAGGUCUGACCUUCGCUCGCGUUACACUUCAUAGUUUGCUUGUUUUCAUGUGGACAUGACCCACUUUGAAAGGUUAUGUGUUGUAGACGGUUGCUACACUAGGAACAUCACCUUUUUCUUGAUAUUUUAUGUGAGAGAUCGUCCUAAUAAUUGACUACUACACAAUCAAAAUAGUGCAAACAACAAAUGGAUAAACUCUUAGGAAAUCCAUUAUAGCAUGAUAUGGUAUACCCUUGGUGCCGGGAAGUCUUCGCGAUCUUCUUGAAUCUUCAGUUGAAACAUUGUUGUGGCUGCAAAAAAAUCUUUGUCGUUGUGGCAAUUUCAGAAAUCAUUGUCAUGGCAACCAUUUCAGAAAACAUUGUGGUGGCACCAAUUUCAAAAAUGUCCACCGUGGUAGCUGUUUCAAAAAUGAUGUUGUGGCACAAAAAAUCCGGCCAUCAUCCUCCGCUACGCCUAGUGAAGCCUCCUCGCGCCAGGUUCCUCCGUGCAAGCUCUCAUUGUCACCUGAAUCCUAUAGCCUAUCUUUACAUCUAUUCCAUUACAUUAAAGUGACAAUCCCGUGGCUCCAACCAUCAUGUCGUACUGCGACGCGCAGGUCACUUAACGUUACAUCAUUAACCAUCUCAUACAUAAGCGCAUUAACAUGACGAAGGCUAUACCGCAUCACAUGCAACCUGCAAAACCAAGUUAAAUGUCCUCUAAUAGGUUUUGUCAAAUUAUUAUUAUGAGGCUUCUAGGAUUUCCGGAUAAUUCUAGCUACCUAUGUCCACCAUAAAGGUGAUAAUUCCUGUUGCUAGAUUAACUCUAUGGUUGUGUGAGGAAAGAGACUUAAUUAAAAAUAUCUAGCCCCAAACUAAACUUCAUCAAUGUUGGAAUUAUGCCCUAGAGGCAAUAAUAAAUAUAGUUAUUAUUAUAAUUCCUGUAUCAAGAUAAUCAUUUAUUAUCCAUGCUAUAAUUGUAUUGAAUGAAGACUCAUUUACAUGUGUGGAUACAUAGACAAAACACUGUCCCUAGCAAGCCUCUAGUUGGCUAGCCAGUUGAUCAAAGAUAGUCAGUGUCUUCUGAUUAUGAACAAGGUGUUGUUGCUUGAUAACUAGAUCACGUCAUUAGUAGAAUCACGUGAUGGACUAGACCCAAACUAAUAGACGUAGCAUGUUGAUCGUGUCAUUUUGUUGCUACUGUUUUCUGCGUGUCAAGUAUUUGUUCCUAUGACCAUGAGAUCAUAUAACUUACUAACACCGGAGGAAUACUUUGUGUGUAUCAAACGUCGCAAUGUAACUGGGUGACUAUAAAGAUGCUCUACAGGUAUCUCCGAAGGUGUUCGUUGAGUUAGUAUGGAUCAAGACUGGGAUUUGUCACUCCGUGUGACGGAGAGGUAUCUCGGGGCCCACUCGAUAAUACAACAUCACACACAAGCCUUGCAAGCAAUGUAACUUAGUGUAAGUUGCGGGAUCUUGUAUUACGGAACGAGUAAAGAGACUUGCCGGUA